rnacentral:rRNA from 1 species
GACGAACGCUGGCGGCGUGCCUAAUACAUGCAAGUCGAACGCUUCUUUCCUCCCGAGUGCUUGCCCUCAAUUGGAAAGAGGAGUGGCGGACGGGUGAGUAACCCGUGGGUAACCUACCCAUCAGAGGGGGAUAACACUUGGAAACAGGUGCUAAUACCGCAUAACAGUUUAUGCCGCAUGGCAUAAGAGUGAAAGGCGCUUUCGGGCGUCGCUGAUGGAUGGACCCGCGGUGCAUUAGCUAGUUGGUGAGGUAACGGCUCACCAAGGCCACGAUGCAUAGCCGACCUGAGAGGGUGAUCGGCCACACUGGGACUGAGACACGGCCCAGACUCCUACGGGAGGCAGCAGUAGGGAAUCUUCGGCAAUGGACGAAAGUCUGACCGAGCAACGCCGCGUGAUUGAAGAAGGUUUUCGGAUCGUAAAACUCUGUUGUUAGGGAAGAACAAGGACGUUAGUAACUGAACGUCCCCUGACGGUAUCUAACCAGAAAGCCACGGCUAACUACGUG